rnacentral:tRNA from 2 species
GGAGGGAUGGGUGAGCGGACGAAACCGCCGGUCUUGAAAACCGGUGAGCGAAAGCUCCGUGGGUUCGAAUCCCACUCCCUCCGCCA